UACGAAGGGGGCUAGCGUUGUUCGGAAUUACUGGGCGGAAAGGGCGCGUAGGCGGCGUGUCAAGUCAGGCGUGAAAGCCCCGGGCUCAACCUGGGAACCGCGCUUGAGACUGGCAUGCUCGAGUUCGGGAGAGGAUGGUGGAAUUCCCAGUGUAGAGGUGAAAUUCGUAGAUAUUGGGAAGAACACCGAUGGCGAAGGCAGCCAUCUGGACCGACACUGACGCUGAGGCGCGAAAGCGUGGGGAGCAAACAGG
rnacentral:rRNA from 1 species